CCACACAGCCCCACUCUAUAGAGGUAUCUCUCUUCUCAGUCAUCUUGUGUAAUUUGCUUUACCCUAUACCUGUCCCUCCCUCCCCCGCUGUCUCCAGCUUGUAAUCCUUGGCUGAUGGCUCAGAGGAGAAGAAAGGAAGACACGUGAUUCUGAGACACAGAGAAAACGAUAUGAGACAGGAUUAUUCAAUGCCAGAGGGGCUGGAGCUUCGCAGCUGCCUUGAUCCUGUUUAUGGCAAAGGGUCCUGGGAUGAUGGUUCCACCGUCAGUGAUGCUCAGGGACAGGAAAUGGCUGGGGAACCCUGGAAGAAGCUGGAUGCUGGACAUUGGGAACCUAAGCCUCCACAAGGAUACCUUCAGCUAAACCAGGAUUCUGCAGAGGCAACCAUUUUAAAUGACAAUACAUAUCAGGCUAGUAGAAAAAGCUUGAAACAAAGCCCUCUCUUUUGAUCUCACAAAGUCAUGCAGACAAGAGAAGGUAAGUAUAUCUGAUUUGUUCUAAUCAGGCUUCUUGGAAUUAAUAAAAUUUUUUUAGGUAAUUAUAUAUGAUUUGUUCUAAUCAGGCUUCUUGGAGUUAACAAAAUUUCUUUUCUCACAAAGAUAAAUUUGGCUCAUCAGAGAAAGUUCUUUGAAGGCUGCUGCUGAACUUGGUUCCCUUUGAAAAAGUAAAUUUCAAGGCAUGAUAGUGCAAGAGGUAAGUUUUUGAUUUAUAGAACAUUUAUAGACUAAUUGUGCUUAGUCUCUAAUUUCCAAUUUGUUUUAAAGACUAGAAACUACACUGUUAAAGUUUUGUUUUUCCUAAAUUUACCAGUACAUCCAUGAAUCGCACCAGAAGUUGGACAAUUUGAUUAUCUUAAUGAUUCUUUGUGAAACCUGCGCAGUCUGAUGUGAGACCCACCGGACGGAGGCUCUAACAUGUUCUGUGCAGAAAGACUCUCCUCUUGGGAGUCAAGGUAUCUGAGAAAG
rnacentral:lncRNA from 1 species